rnacentral:rRNA from 1 species
AACGAACGCUGGCGGCAGGCUUAACACAUGAAAGUCGAGCGCCCCGCAAGGGGCGCGGCAGACGGGUGAGUACCGCGUGGGAACGUACCUCUUGGUUCGGAACAACUCCGGGAAACUGGAGCUAAUACCGGAUAAGCCCUAACGGGGAAAGAUUUAUCGCCGAAAGAUCGGCCCGCGUCUGAUUAGCUAGUUGGUGAGGUAACGGCUCACCAAGGCGACGAUCAGUAGCUGGUCUGAGAGGAUGAUCAGCCACACUGGGACUGAGACACGGCCCAGACUCCUACGGGAGGCAGCAGUGGGGAAUAGUGGACAAUGGGCGCAAGCCUGAUCCAGCCAUGCCGCGUGAGUGAUGAAGGCCUUAGGGUUGUAAAGCUCUUUUGUCCGGGAAGAUAAUGACUGUACCGGAAGAAUAAGCCCCGGCUAACUUCGUG